GACGAACGCUGGCGGCGUGCCAAAUACAUGCAAGUCGAGCGAAUGGAUUAAGAGCUUGCUCUUAUGAAGUUAGCGGCGGACGGGUGAGUAACACGCGGGUAACCUGCCCAUAAGACUGGGAUAACUCCGGGAAACCGGAGCUAAUACCGGAUAACAUUUUGAACCGCAUGGUUCGAAAUUGAAAGGCGGCUUCGGCUGUCACUUAUGGAUGGACCCGCGUCGCAUUAGCUAGUUGGUGAGGUAACGGCUCACCAAGGCAACGAUUCGUAGCCGACCUGAGAGGGUGAUCGGCCACACUGGGACUGAGACACGGCCCAGACUCCUACGGGAGGCAGCAGUAGGGAAUCUUCCGAAAUGGACGAAAGUCUGACGGAGCAACGCCGCGUGAGUGAUGAAGGCUUUCGGGUCGUAAAACUCUGUUGUUAGGGAAGAACAAGUGCUAGUUGAAUAGGCUGGCACCUUGACGGUGCCUAACCAGAAAGCCACGGCUAACUACGUGCCAGCCGCCGCGGUAA
rnacentral:rRNA from 1 species